rnacentral:rRNA from 1 species
AUUGAACGCUGGCGGCAGGCCUAACACAUGCAAGUCGAACGAGUGGCGGACGGGUGAGUAAUGUCUGGGAAACUGCCUGAUGGAGGGGGAUAACUACUGGAAACGGUAGCUAAUACCGCAUACCAUCGGAUGUGCCCAGAUGGGAUUAGCUAGUAGGUGGGGUAAAGGCUCACCUAGGCGACGAUCCCUAGCUGGCCUGAGAGGAUGACCAGCCACACGUGAACUGAGACCCGGCCCUGCCUCCUAGGGGAGGCAGAAGUGGGGAAUAUUGCACAAUGGGCGCACGCCUGAUAAAGCCAUGCCGCGUGUAUGAAGAAGGCCUUCGGGUUGUAAAGUACUUUCAGAGGGGAGGCGUUACCCGCAGAAGAAGCACCGGCUAACUCCGUGCCAGCAGCCGCGGUAAUAC